UGGGGAAUCAUGGUCAAUGGGCGAAAGCCUGAACCUGCGACGCCGCGUGAGUGAUGAAGGUCGUAAGAUCGUAAAACUCUUUUCAGGGAUCUUAACGCACAGCUGUCAACAACAGCUGUGUCUGACUCUCCCUGGAAGAAGCCCCAGCCAACUACGUGCCAGCAGCUGCGGUAAUACGUAGGGGGCGAGCGUUAUUCGGAAUUACUGGGUGUAAAGGGUAUGUAGGCGGCCCUUCAAGUCGCGUGUCAAAG
rnacentral:rRNA from 1 species